rnacentral:rRNA from 1 species
UACGAGGGGGGCGAGCGUUGUUCGGAAUUAUUGGGCGUAAAGGGUGCGUAGGCGGUUUGGUAAGUCCGAUGUGAAAUCUAUGGGCUCAACUCAUAGUCUGCAUCGGAAACUGCCGGGCUUGAGUAUGGGAGAGGUGAGUGGAAUUCCUGGUGUAGCGGUGAAAUGCGUAGAUAUCAGGAGGAACACCUGUGGCGAAAGCGGCUCACUGGACCAUAACUGACGCUGAUGCACGAAAGCUAGGGGAGCAAACAGG